UCAUGCUCCAGUGGAUUUAGGAAGGAAACACAAAGCUGCAAAGCAGCCACCCUGCCUCUAUCUGUUUUCAUUUACUGGACAGAGGACUCCAUAUGAGUAGAGCAAAGAUGUACAAGACUGAUGUACUAAGUCAGACAAAGCCUCGGAGAUGAGACAAGGAAAGAGACCUUCCAGAGUGGGAUCCUGGCAGUCUUUUGUUAAAAUUCCACCACCAAAUGGAAGGAGCAAUCUGCUUGGAACGUGGAGGGAGGAGAACGGGUUGCAGGAUGGAAGAGUUUGGAAGAGGCACCAGAGACCUAUCCCAACACUGAAGUCAGUGUGGGGACUUUAUUGCGUAUUGGGUCAGGCCCUGCUAGGAUUACAGAACCACCCACUUCAUCAUUACAGGAAAGAAGAUGAUUGAAUCCAAUUCCUAGUGUCCAGAGACAAAAUCAUCAACACAAAUGGCAUGAACUGGCAUCAUUGUUACCACAUCCCAACAAAAAGAUGAGGGGUUGAAUCUGUCAUGAAAACUGAACAUCUUUCUCACUCCUAAAGAUGGUAUCUCCAGGUCAAUCUUGAGGUAUAUCAAUGGUGUGGAGGAAUCUGACAUUUCUGCUGUCUGAGGCAUGAUUUUCAGAUUACUGGCCUCAUUCUCCAUGACAAUAUGGUACUUUUCACUGCACAUUUCACAUCACUAGCCUUCCAAUAAAAUAUUUUUGCCCCCAAAUUCUGUAAAUUCUUACGGAAGUCAAUGUGAUUUUAGCCUGAUUAAUGCCUGCAAAAUCAGGCCCAUUAUUUUAAAUAGAUGAAUGUGUGUGUACAGACUUGGAGACUCUUAAAAAUUCCUAUCAUUUAUCCGGUCAACCAUACUUCUGCCUUAGAAUUAUAGCAUGCAUUGUUGGGGUAGCCAUGUUGGUUACAGGAUAUUAGAGAGAUAAGGUGGGUGAGGUAAAAUAUCUUUUAUUGUACCAGAUUCUGUUGUUGAGAAAGACAAGCUUUCGAGCAACACAGAGCUCUUCCUUAGGUGUGGAAAAGGUACUCAGGGUGUCAGUCUGAGCACUUUUCUCAGACCUGAGGAAGAGCUCAUGGAGUUAUACUUACAGUCUGUCAUACACUUUGUGUUGUGUCCUAGAGUAAAGGCUUUACAAAAUCAUGUAUAUUCUUGAUCUGAUGGAAUAUAAUGACUUCUUUGGAGCCAUCAAGUUCCCGCUCACACAUCCUUAGUCAAGGGACUGUUAGAAAGCUGAUUUUGAAUAUUUAUUUUGAUUGAAGUGAGCACUAAUUUCACAUGUUUAAAAACCUUCUGGAAAUUUCAACUGGGAAAAGAAACAAAAGAAAAAGACCCUGGUGCAUAUGUGCGGGAAACAGUAUUUCUAGAGUAAAUAAAUUGUUGCUUACUGUUUCUUUCCAAGACACCCCUGAGGCAAAGAACCAUAUUAUGGACUUGGAAAUUGUCACUUUGAUCAAUGGAGCAAUUUUUGGUAAAGAAAUCAAAACAAAACAAAACAAAACAAAAAAAACCAUGGGAAGCAACUCAAUUUGUUUUUGUACUCUUUUUAUUUGUAAACAAAUACCAGAAGCCCAGGUCUCUUUAUCUGCAUUCCUCCUAACCACCCAUGGCUCAGAAGGUGGGGGUUUCUGGAUACUGGUCUCUAUUCCUUCCCAGUUUGGGGUAACAUCCUUAGAGGCUUUUUUGUCUCAAUGGACUUCUACUCUCCUCACCCAUCCUGCCCAACUAUGCUGAAUCCAGUAGUGACUUGGAAUCAGGAUGGAUGCCUAUACUCAACACAAUUCUGUAGUGUGGACAUAUGUGAAGCAGAAAUAUGUUUGACAAUCAUUUUCUAAAACCUCACGUGACAUGGUUUGGUGAACCAGAAUGUACAUUUCAAAAUCAAGAUAUUUCUGUAACCCCCUUAUCAAGUUGACAGGAAGGAGUUCUUGGGUCACACUAUUGGCUUUCAGUUGGACUUAGGCACCUACGUAGAGCAGGGCAGGAACUUGAUUUUCCAUUUAAUGGGAAAUUCUGUUAUUUCAAUUUUUGUUUCCAUUCCAAAAUGGAAUGAAAAAAAAAAUCCUAUGAAAUUAUGUAAAAAUAAAUUGUUUCAAGUUGAUCAAACAGUUUAAUUUAGAGAAAAAGUAAAGUAUUUCAUCUUGGUUUUAACCUUUUUAAACUGUGUGUAUAUAAAACCAAUUAAUUUUAUUUUAAAAAGUAAUUUCCAAAUGAAAAAUCAAAAAUAUUACAAAACUAUCAAAAUGUGACACUUAAACAUUGUCAGAAACUUACUUUCAGUUUUUUCUUAACGAAAUUUUGUCAAAAUUGACACUUUUUCGAAACAUUUUGAAUUUGACAAAAACAACAUUUUUGCAAAAAAAAAAACCUUCAGUGAAAAGUUUUCCAAGCAGCUCUACUUCUAAAUGUCUAGCUCACUUCUGAAAACUGGCCUUUGACUUCUAAGUCACUUAAGUGAUUUUUAGAAGCUUACCAUAGAACUCAGGUGCUCCUGAAUCUUUGGCUUGUGCCCAAUCCACUAGAUCAUAUUGCACCCCAAAUGGUAACAUGUUUCCAUGGCAGCCCUACUAACUUCUUUAGUACAAGGGAGAUUUCCACAAAACACAAGAUAAAGUUCAGUUUUUAAAAGCAUAAUCAAACAAUGAAUCUGUACUGAAAGUCUUAUUUGCUAGUUUUUAUAAGCGUUUUAUGGGAGAGUUUUAAAUUCCUGAUGAAUGGGUUUGUAAAUAUAAAUUUUGACAGUCCUAUAAUUAUAGCAUCAGAAAUACAUAUCCACACACAUACUAUAAAAAUACAUUUUGUGGGACCUUAACAAUUUGUUCAUACACACUGUGAUUUUGCAAACUAAAAGCAGGAGAUUGGUCUAGAAUCGGUUUGUUUCUAAAACGUAAAUUGAACUGCACAUUGUGCAUCAACAAACUAUGAUUGUUCAAAAGAAGUCCUACAUAAACACACAGGUCAAAGAAUUGUUAGUCUGCUGCAAAGCUUUGUUUUUCAGGUUUAGCAGAUUAUUCCAACAAAGCUUUCCUUUUUGGUUAAAAAUCUUUUGCUCUAUAAAGUAGCACAGCUCUGAAUGCUUGCAUUUGCUGCCAUUUGCCUUUCACAAAACUCAAGGUGAGGUGGCAUAGAACAUAAGAAUGGCCAUUCUGGGUCAGACCAAAGGCCCAUCCAGCCCAGUAUCCUGUCUACCGACAGUGGCCAAUGCCAGGUGCCCCAGAGGGAGUGAACCUAACAGGUAAUAAUUAAGUGAUCUCUCUCCUGCCAUCCGUCUCCACCCUCUAACAAAGAGAGGCUUGGAACACCGUUCCUUACCCAUCCUGGCUAAUAGCCAUUAAUGGACUUAAUCUCCAUGAAUUUAUAUAGUUAGCUUUUAAACCCUAUUAUAGUCCUAGCCUUCACAACCUCCUCAGGCAAGGAGUUCCACAGGUUGACUGUGCACUGUGUGAAGCAUGGACAAUAACAUGAGGAAUGUCUCUACAUGCUCCUACAGUGCACAGGACAUUGCCCAAAGUGCAGUACAAAUUGGACUGAAUGGCUCAGAGAAUGGUAAUGAGAUAAGAGCCUUUCAUCUGUGACCAAUUCAAGCCUGUGUUGAAGUAACCCAAAAGCAUUCCCACCUGAUGGCUGAAAUGAGAUGGCUGGGCUUGAUCCAGCUCCUAGCAUAUAGGUGUCCAAAACAAAAUUGGUAUGAAAAUGACACCUUUUGCUGACAGCUUAGAUUGUGGUGACAAAGGUUAAAAGGCAUGUGGAGAUGUAAAGCCUCUUUUUUUCACAGAUAUGGUCCAUUUAGUACAGAAUUUAUUGGCAAGAUGGUGGAGGGGAAGCUUUCACUUCUGCUGCCCGUCUUUGGCUAGUGUCCUUCUUCCACACUGUAAAUACACUGAAAGCAUGAAUGGAAAACAAAAGGGAAUUUGAAAUCAAUGCUGAACACCAUUUUAUACAUGUACUAAGAGUUAACCAGAGGACUUCAGUCUCCAGGGAUGAAAUCCUGGCCUCAUUCAAGUCAAUGGCAAAAUUCCCACUGAUUUAAAUGGGGCCAGGAUUUCAUUCUAGGGAUCUUAGUCUGGCAUCCUUCAUCCACACUCAAAACAUGUAUGGAAAACAAAGGUGAUCUGAGUACUGCUCAAAGUCAAUAGCAACACCACUGUUGCUUUAUUUAAUAUAAGGUCCCAUAUCCCCAGUUGGGGUAAAUUUUCAUAGUGCUGUUGAAGGCAAUGGGCCUACACCAAUGUAUACCAGCUGAGGAUGUGGCUCCUAAGAAACAACAGAGAAAAUCCAGCUGUAUCAUAGACAUAAUUCUGGAUACUGUUAGGAAUACAAAACUUCACAUACGCAUAAAAGCCAACCACCCACUUGAAAAAAAUCCACAUUUUUUAAGACUGAAUUGAUUUUUGAAUACCAUGUGGUAUCAAUCAUAAUAAUUAUAUAUGUUAGGCAAACUUAAUGAGACGACUCAGCCAAUGUUUUUAUCAUUUGAACAGUAUACACUAUCUCCUUCCAAAAAACAUGCUAGUUUCCUUUGUGACUGUUCAUAAUUAAGAUUUUUUUAAGGGUUAUUUUAAUUUUUAAUGUUUUGGGGGGGGUAGCUCAGAUAUAUAUUUGUUUUCUUGUAUAAAAAAGAAAAAAAGUAAUGUUUGGAGAAAAAUAUUUAAAAUCAUUUAAAAAUGUUUACUUCACCUUAUUCUGGAGGACUGAGCAAGCCACAGACAUUCAGGACUCUAGGGUUCUGACUCUGCCAAUGAUUCAUUAAGACCUUUGGCAAAUCACUUCACCUGAAUAUGUUUUGGCUAUCCCAUCUGUAACAUAGGGAUUGUAUGGCUUAAUUAAUCAAUGACUGUAAAGUGUUUGAGAUACUCAGCUCCGCAGCUAAGCUAUGUGAGUGCAACGUAUUAUUAUUUUUGUUAUAUAUGAAAAGACUUGUGCAUUUUUGUUACAUUCUAGUGAUAAUGUAAACGAUUGAUUUCCUUUCUUCUAAAACUGUACAUUUCAUUCAUGAACCAAGGGGUUUAACACAAUAUUUUUAGUAAUCAUAGUAGUAAUAAUAAUAAUAUAUUUUAAUGUAUAAGCGUCCAUGCCUUAGGGUUUGUUGGCAUCCUAACAGAAAUAAUGAAACAUGAAGUUACAAUAAAAAAAAAGUCAAAGAGCCUGUAAACAAAACCCCAUAGCCCACCCAGUCAAAAAAUUAAACAUAAAAUAUUAAAAAAUUCAAACAUUGAAACUAAAA